rnacentral:snRNA from 1 species
AUACCUUUUUCGAUCGUUUGACUAAGAUCAAGUAUAGUAUUUGUUAUUAUCAGUUUAAGUUGUUUAAUAUCUGAUAUGUCAGUCAUUGGUUCACACUAUAUUAAAUUAACUUUUAUGAUAAGAUCCACC